CGGUUGAUCCUGCCGGAGGCUAUUGCUAUCAGGGUUUGANUAAGCCAUGCGAGUCGAGAGGUGAAAGACCUCGGCAUACUGCUCAGUAACACGUGGAUAAUCUGCCCUCAGGUGAGGAAUAAUCCCGGGAAACUGGGGCUAAUGCCUCAUAGGAGACGGGUGCUGGAAUGCUCUGUCUCUGAAAGGUCCGCCGCCUGAGGAUGAGUCUGCGUCCGAUUAGGUUGUUGUUGGGGUAACGGCCCACCAAGCCAUUGAUCGGUACGGGUUGUGAGAGCAAGAGCCCGGAGAUGGAUUCUGAGACAUGAAUCCAGGCCCUACGGGGCGCAGCAGGCGCGAAAACUUUACAAUGCGAGCAAUCGUGAUAAGGAAACCCUGAGUGCCUGUCAAUGCAGGCUGUUCUGGUGUUUAGUCAGCACCAGGAGAAAGGGCGGGGCAAGACCGGUGCCAGCCGCCGCGGUAAUACCGGCUGCUCGAGUGAUAGCCACUUUUACUGGGCUUAAAGCGUUCGUAGCUUGGUCGUUAAGUCUCUGGGGAAAUCUUUUGGCUCAACCAAAAGACGUCUCAGAGAAACUGGCGACCUUGGGACCGGGAGAGGUAAGACGUACUUCGGGGGUAGGAGUGAAAUCUUGUAAUCCCCGAGGGACGACCGAUGGCGAAGGCAUCUUACCAGAACGGCUCCGACAGUGAGGGACGAAAGCUGGGGGAGCAAACCGGAUUAGAUACCCGGGUAGUCCCAGCCGUAAACGAUGUGCGUUAGGUGUGUCAGUGACCACGAGUCACUGAGGUGCCGAAGGGAAACCGUGAAACGCACCGCCUGGGAAGUACGGUCGCAAGGCUGAAACUUAAAGGAAUUGGCGGGGGAGCAC
rnacentral:rRNA from 1 species